UUAACUCAUAUUUGUAUGGAAUGGGAUCGUUUGCGUACGUCUACCGCUAGGGGCGCUGUUCCAACUGCAUACAAACUUGAGUUA
rnacentral:pre_miRNA from 1 species